rnacentral:rRNA from 1 species
ACGGGAGGCAGCAGUGGGGAAUUUUGCGCAAUGGGGGAAACCCUGACGCAGCAACGCCGCGUGCGGGAUGAAGGCCUUCGGGUUGUAAACCGCUUUCAGAGGGGAAGAUAGUGACGGUACCCUCACAAGAAGCUCCGGCUAAAUACGUGCCAGCAGCCGCGGUAAUACGUAUGGAGCGAGCGUUAUCCGGAUUCAUUGGGCGUAAAGCGCGCGUAGGCGGCUACUUAAGCAAAACCUCUAAUCUUAGGGCUCAACCUUAAGCUGGGUUUUGAACUGGGUGGCUCGAGUUCGGUAGGGGCAGAUGGAAUUCCCGGUGUAGCGGUGGAAUGCGCAGAUAUCGGGAAGAACACCAAUGGCGAAGGCAGUCUGCUGGGCCGUAACUGACGCUGAGGCGCGAAAGCUAGGGGAGCAAACAGGAUUAGAUACCCUGGUA